AUUGAACGCUGGCGGCAGGCCUAACACAUGCAAGUCGGACGGUAGCACAGAGGCGCUCGCCCCUCGGGUGAUGAGUGGCGGAUGAGUGAGUAAUCUCAGGGUAUCUGCCCGAUAGAGGGAGAUAAGCACUGGAAACGGUGGCUAAUACCGCAUAACGUCGCAGAACCAAAGAGGAGGAACGUCGGCCCGCCCACAAUCGGACCAACCCCGAGGGGAUUAGGUAGUAGGCGGGGAAACGGCCCACCUAGGCGACGAUCCCGAGCUGGUGUGAGAGGAUGGCCAGCCACACUGGAACUGAGACACCGUCCAGACUUCUAAGGGGGGCAGCAGUGGGGAAUAUUGGAAAAUGGGCGCAAGCCUGAUUCAGCCAUGCAGCGUGUAUGAAGGAGGCCUUCGGGUUGUAAAGUACUUUCAGCGGGGAGGAAGGCGAUGCGGUUAAUAACCGCGUCGAUUGACGUUACCCGCAGAAGAAGCACCGGCUAACUCCGUGCCAGCAGCCGCCGUAA
rnacentral:rRNA from 1 species